CUGAGCGCCCUCCGCUCGCCCCGAGAGAGACCCGGCCAUGCAGGAGCCGCUGCUGGGAGCCGAGGGCCCGGACUACGACACCUUCCCCGAGAAGCCGCCCCCGUUGCCAGGGGACAGGGCGCGGGUCGGGUGAGAGUCGCUAGGUUGGGGGCUGCGGGUGGGGCCUGGGGGUGGCCCUGGUUCCCUCCAGCCGGCGGCAUGCUCCCGCCCUGGGCCUCCCCUGACCUAGUCGUCACCGAGGGGUCAUCUGGCUCCCUCCUGUCCCAGACACGCUACUCCUAUUUAAGGAACGGGCCCCCCUAAGGGAAGGAACGAUCCACGGGAGUACCGGGCCCAGCCCCCCACUGCCACAGACAGUGAGACUGAGGCCCCAGCGAGCAAGGGGUCUGCCUGAGGUCACACAGCAAGCCUCCAGCCGCCGCCCUGGGGGCAGAACCAGAGCCUCCUCUUCCGGAGAAAAGGCCCCAGCACCAGAGGCUCAGCCACUGCGAUGAGCUAACAAUGGCCUGGGAAUUUCCCAGGGGAGCUGGGGCUCAGGCCCUGGGAACCUGAAUGGCCUUGGACCCAGGCCUCCCCAGCACUGCCCGCUGAGCUGGGCAGCCACUGGGUUCAGAAAAGGCAAUGGUCCCUGAAGGAGGGACUCAGAGACCCUGGUCUUUUUGUCCACCACCAUCACCAGGACCCUGCAGAACAAAAGGGUGUUCCUGGCCACCUUCGCCGCAGUGCUCGGCAAUUUCAGCUUUGGGUAUGCCCUGGUCUACACAUCCCCUGUCAUCCCAGCCCUGGAGCGCUCCUUGGAUCCUGACCUGCAUCUGACCAAAUCCCAGGCAUCCUGGUUCGGGUCCGUGUUCACCCUGGGAGCAGCGGCCGGAGGCCUGAGCGCCAUGAUCCUCAACGACCUCCUGGGCCGGAAGCUGAGCAUCAUGUUCUCAGCUGUGCCGUCGGCGGCCGGCUAUGCGCUCAUGGCGGGUGCGCACGGCCUCUGGAUGCUGCUGCUGGGAAGGACGCUGACGGGCUUUGCCGGGGGGCUCACAGCUGCCUGCAUCCCGGUGUACGUGUCUGAGAUUGCUCCCCCAGGCGUUCGUGGGGCUCUGGGGGCCACACCCCAGCUCAUGGCAGUGUUUGGAUCCCUGUCCCUCUACGCCCUUGGCCUCCUGCUGCCAUGGCGCUGGCUGGCUGUGGCCGGGGAGGCGCCUGUGCUCGUCAUGAUCCUGCUGCUCAGCUUCAUGCCCAACUCGCCGCGCUUCCUGCUCUCUCGGGGCAGGGACGAAGAGGCCCUGCGGGCGCUGGCCUGGCUGCGUGGGACGGACGCCGAUGUCCACUGGGAGUUCGAGCAGAUCCAGGACAACGUCCGGAGACAGAGCAGCCGAGUGUCGUGGGCUGAGGCACGGGCCCCCCACAUGUGCCGGCCCAUCGCCGUGGCCUUGCUGAUGCGCCUCCUGCAGCAGCUGACGGGCAUCACGCCCAUCCUGGUCUAUCUGCAGUCCAUCUUCGACAGCACCGCUGUCCUGCUGCCCCCCAAGGACGACGCAGCCAUCGUUGGGGCCGUGCGGCUCCUGUCCGUGCUGAUCGCCGCCCUCACCAUGGACCUCGCAGGCCGCAAGAUGCUGCUCUUCGUCUCAGGUAAGCACCCUGCAGGCAGCCCUCCUGCCCCACUCCUCCACAGGGGUCGGGGCUGGGCUGGGUGUGCAGGCCUGCCUCGGGGUGGGGCUGUGUGGCUGGGAACUGCAGAGCACCUGCCUCCCUAGCAUCAGCAGGGCCCCAGCCCAAGCCAGUGGCUCCAGAAAGGUCCGCUGGGGCUCCGAGUGGACACACUGGCUGUGACACUCCACGGUGGGAGCCUGACACGCGGCUGGAGACAGAGCUUGCUGCCCUGCUGGGGGUCUCUAGUCCCAGACACGAGCUGGACCACGCAAGUAUCAAGGGGCUCUGCAGAAGGAGCUCUGAGAGAAACAGCUGGCUCAGAGGGUCCUGGCCCCACGAGGCCACCUGUCUGUCCACAGCGGCCAUCAUGUUUGCUGCCAACCUGACUCUGGGGCUGUACAUCCACUUUGGCCCCAGGCCUCUGAGCCCCAACAGCACUGCGGGCCUGGAAAGUGAGUCCUGGGGGGACUUGGCGCAGCCCGUGGCAGCACCCGCUGGCUACCUCACCCUGGUGCCCCUGCUGGCCACCAUGCUCUUCAUCAUGGGCUACGCCAUGGGCUGGGGCCCCAUCACCUGGCUGCUCAUGUCUGAGGUCCUGCCCCUGCGUGCCCGUGGCGUGGCGUCAGGGCUCUGCGUGCUGGCCAGCUGGCUCACCGCCUUCGUCCUCACCAAGUCCUUCCUGCCAGUGGUGAGCACCUUCGGCCUCCAGGUGCCUUUCUUCUUCUUCGCGGCCAUCUGCUUGGUGAGCCUGGUGUUCACAGGCUGCUGUGUGCCCGAGACCAAGGGACGGUCCCUGGAGCAGAUCGAGUCCUUCUUCCGCACGGGGAGAAGGUCCUUCUUGCGCUAGGUCAGGGUCCCCGCCCGGAGGGGGCCAAACCCCCAGUGGCUGGGCCUCCGUGUUGGCUAUAAACCUGCACCCUGGGACCAAGAGGCAGCAGUCAUCCCUGCCACCAGCCAGAGCACAGGAAGAGCAGUGUGAUGGGGACACAGCAGCAGGUGCCCCUGGCUCCAGACAGGUAGCACUGCUGUCCAGCUGCAGCCCCAGCCCAGGCAGCCCGCAGUGCUACACAUAGCCAUGGGCCGCAGGAGCGCAUACAACCGUGCGUCCAGGGACACGGCCCUGCUGGGUGACCUCAGGCCUAGUCCCUUACUCUUGCGUGAAGGACACGCCCCACAGAAGGCUACGGGGAGGACUGAGAGGACAGGGCUGGAGGCAGCCAAGUAACAUAGUCAUAUCAUCGCGCUCUGAUCUGGUGGCAUCUGGCUGUGCAAGGAAGACACGGCUCUGCCCCCACAAGUCUUAUGGGCACCACAGGGAACAUCCUGGACUUAAAAAGCCAGGGCAGGCCGGGCACAGUGGCUCACGCCUGUAAUCCCAGCACUUUGGGAGGCGGAAGCAGGUGGAUUACCCGAGGCCAGGAGUUCAAGACCAGCCUGGCCAACAUGGUGAAACCCCGUCUUUACUAAAAAAUACAAAAAAGCUGGGUGUGGUGGCACACACCUGUAGUUCCAGCUACUUGGGAGGCUGAGGCAGAAUUGCUUGAACCCGGGAGGUGGAGGCUGCAAUGAGCUGAGAUCAUGCCAUUGCACUCCAGCCUGGGCAACGAGAGUGAAACUCCGUCCCCACCCCCUGCCAAAAAAAAAAAAAGCCAGGGCAAAGGACCUGGCGUCGCCACUUCCUCCUGCCCCACCCCAACCUCUGGGAACAGGCAGCUCCUAUCUGCAAACUGUGUUCACCCUUUUAUAAAAAUAAAGGAACUGGACCUGU
rnacentral:sRNA from 1 species